GCUCAUGUGGUGUAGUGGCCAAUCAUGAAGCCCUCUCGAGGCUUCAACACGGGUUCGAAUCCCGUCGUGAGCA
rnacentral:tRNA from 1 species